CAACCUCUGACGAAAAACGUGAAUGUUG
ncrna:unclassified sequences L19-Flavobacteria ribosomal protein leader